AAGGAACUAAGGUUUGGGGACAGAUAUUGGUACGAAACGAAGGGGAUAGAGGGAUUCACUAGAGGUCAGCUAAGAGAAAUAAGAAAGAUGACGUUUUCUAAGAUACUCUGUGAGGCGUUGAAUCUGGAUGAAGUUCAAAAAGAUGUUUUCAACCUUGUAGGAUCAAAAAAUCCCCGUGUAAAGUGUUCUUCAUUACCCUUUAUGGAUCUCUCAGAGUGGAAGAAAUUUUUCUUCCCUUUCAUUGACUGGUCAAAAUUCUUUACUUCAGGAUUAUUUUAAAACGAAAAGAACCGUGUAGUGUGACGAGAACUAGGCUUUGA